AUACGGAGGGAGCGAGCGUUAAUCGGAAUUACUGGGCGUAAAGCGCGCGUAGGCGGCUUUGUCAGUCGGAUGUGAAAGCCCUGGGCUUAACCUGGGAAUGGCAUUCGAUACUGCAGAGCUAGAGUAUGAUAGAGGGAAGUGGAAUUUCCGGUGUAGCGGUGAAAUGCGUAGAUAUCGGAAGGAACACCAGUGGCGAAGGCGACUUCCUGGGCCAAUACUGACGCUGAGGUGCGAAAGCGUGGGGAGCAAACAGAAUUAGAAACCCCAGUAGUCC
rnacentral:rRNA from 1 species